CAAUAAGCUAAAUAAGGGCGUAUGGGGAAUGCCUAGGGUCUCAGAGGCGAUGAAGGACGUGAUAAGCUGCGAAAAGCUGCGGGGAUUGGCACACACAAUUUGAUCCGCAGAUAUCCGAAUGGGGAAACCCACUAUAUUGAAGAUAUAGUAUCCGAAAGGAAGCGAACCCGGAGAACUGAAACAUCUAAGUACCCGGAGGAGAAGAAAACAAAAGUGAUUCCGAUAGUAGCGGCGAGCGAAAUCGGAUUAGUCCAAACCAAAGUUGUUACGGCAAUUUUGGGGUUGUAGGACCACGUUAUUGAAUGUUUUAUGAAUUAGAAUUCUUUGGAAAAAGAAACCAUAGAGGGUGAUAGUCCCGUAUAAGUAAAGACAAUUAUUCAUAGUGGUAUCCUGAGUAGUGCGGGACACGAGUAAUCCUGUAUGAAUCAAGCGGGACCAUCCGCUAAGACUAAAUACUCCUGAGACACCGAUAGUGAACUAGUACCGUGAGGGAAAGGUGAAAAGAACCUUGAAUAAAGGAGUGAAAUAGAUCCUGAAACCAUACGCUUACAAGCGGUCGGAGCCAUUCGUGGUGACGGCGUGCCUUUUGCAUAAUGAGCCUACGAGUUACCGUUUCUAGCAAGGUUAAGUACUUCAGGUACGGAUCCGUAGCGAAAGCGAGUCUGAAUAGGGCGAUUUAGUUAGUGGCGGUAGACGCGAAACCGUGUGAUCUACCCAUGGGCAGGGUGAAGCUGUAGUAACAUACAGUGGAGGCCCGAACCGAUAUACGUUGAAAAGUGUUCGGAUGACCUGUGGGUAGGGGUGAAAGGCCAAUCAAACUCGGAAAUAGCUCGUACUCCCCGAAAUGCAUUUAGGUGCAGCGUUGAUUUAUAGUUUUAUAGAGGUAGAGCUACUGAUUGGAUGCGGGGGCUUCACCGCCUACCAAUUCCUGACAAACUCCGAAUGCUAUAAAAUGUUAAUCAGCAGUGAGGGCAUGG
rnacentral:rRNA from 1 species